rnacentral:rRNA from 1 species
GGAACCUGUCCUAUAAUUGAUAGUCCACGAUUUUUAUUACUUAUUUUAUUAAUUUGCAUAUCGCCGUAGAUUGAAUAUUUUUUAAGAAAUAUAAUAUUCAAAAAUUUAAAUUUAGGGAGAAUUCAGGUCAAGAUGUAGUUUAUAAAUAAGAAGAGAUGGGUUACAAUAAAUUUAUUUAAAAUGGAUAAUUAUUUUAAAUAGUAAUUUGAAGGUGGAUUUGAAAGUAAUUUUUAUUAAAUAAUAAAAAUGAUUUUAGCUCUAAAAUAUGCACAUAUCGCCCGUCAUUUUCACUAUAAAGUGGAACAAGUCGUAACAUAGUAGGUGUACUGGAAAGUGUGCCUAGAAUGGCAAAUUAGAGCUCGAUACAGAGUAUUUUAGUUACAUUAAAAAGUUUAUUGUGAAAAUCAAUAUAAUUUGAAUAUAAAUUAUUAUUAUUAUUAAAUUUGAAUUUUUAUUUAUUUAAAUAAAAUAAUUUAGUGUUUAUUUAUUAAAAAGAAUAAAUUUUUUUAUUAUAGUUAAUUAGUAUUGUGAAAGAAAUAUUUAAAAUACUUAAAAGAAUAAUUAAUUUUUAGUACCUUGUGCAUCAGGGAUUAUUUAAUAAAAGUAAAUAAUUAUUAUUUUCUCGAAUUUAAAAGAGUUAUAAAGUUAUAUUUUUUAUUGUAUUAUAAAUAUUAUAAAUAAUUUUAUAGUAAUGAAAUGUUAUUCGUUUUUAAAUAUAUCUAGUUUUUUAAGAAAUAAAUUUAAUUUAGUUAGUAAAAAAUAUUAAUUUAAAUUUUUAAUAGAAUAUUAUUAUUAAUAAAAAUUUUAAGGGUUGAGCUUUAAAGUUUAUUUUUAUAAAUAAUAGUGAAAUUUUGAAUAAGUAAGAUUAGAAGUUUUUAUCUUUAGUAGUAUGUUAUAAUAAAUUUAGUAAAAGAAAAAAUUUAUAUAAAUUUUAAAUGAUUUAUUAAAAUAUUAAUUUUAAUUUUUAAAGUUAAGAAUUAAUGGUAAUAUUAGUAUAUUUUAUUGUAUUUUAAUUAAUAGAUUAGAUUAAGUAAAGGAAUUCGGCAAAAGAUUUUUCACCUGUUUAUAAAAACAUGGCUUUUUGAAUAUAAUUUAAAGUUUGACCUGCCCAAUGAAUAAUUUAAUGGCCGCGGUAUAUUGACCGUGCAAAGGUAGCAUAAUCAUUUGUUUUUUAAUUGAAAGCUUGUAUGAAAGGUUGAAUGAAAAAAUAACUGUCUCUAUUUAAAUUUAGAAUUUUAUUUUUAAGUUAAAAAGCUUAAAUAAUUUUUGAAGACGAGAAGACCCUAUAGAGUUUUAUAAUUUAAGUUUUUAAUAAAUUUAGAAUUUUUAUAUUUAAAUUAUUUAAAUUAUUUAAUUGGGGUGAUUAAAAAAUUAAUUAAACUUUUUUUGUAUAAAAUCAUUGAUUAAUGAGURGUUGAUCCUUAUAGAUUAAAAGAUUAAAUUACCUUAGGGAUAACAGCGUAAUUUUUUUUUAGAGUUCAAAUUAAAAGAAAAGAUUGCGACCUCGAUGUUGGAUUAAAAUUAAUUUUACGGUGUAGAGGCUUAAAAGUUGGGUCUGUUCGACCCUUAAAAUUUUACUUGAUCUGAGUUCAAACCGGUGUGAGCCAGGUUGGUUUCUAUCUCGAAAAGGUUAAUAUAUUUUAGUACGAAAGGACCAAAUAUUUUAUAAAAAAUAUUUGUUUAGAAUAUUAUUAUUAUUUUGGCAGAUUAGUGCGAUAGAUUUAGAAUCUUUAUAUGUAGUUAUACAAAUAAUACUUGUUAUUUAAGGAUUUAAUAAUAAUAYUGAUUUCUAUAGUAAUUUUAAUUUUUAGUGUAAUAUUAGGAGUAGCUUUUUUAACUUUAUUAGAACGUAAAGUUUUAGGAUAUAUUCAAAUUC